GGCGGAUGUAGCCAAGUGGUUAAGGCAGUGGAUUGUGAAUUCAUCACGCGCGGGUUCGAACCCCGUCGUUCGCC
rnacentral:tRNA from 5 species